rnacentral:tRNA from 1 species
GUGUACUUAGCUCAAUGGUUAGAGCAUCAAUCAUGAAUGCUGAGUAUGUGAGUUUGACUCUCACAGUACACG